rnacentral:sRNA from 1 species
CUGGCAACCUGUAUGAUGCAAUUUUUCUAUUCAUAGACAGAUACAGCAUAGAGAGUGGCAGUGCAAGCUUUGCCAUGCUGACCUACCAAACUGUCUCAAUCCUUGACCUGGAGGGGCCUAGGAGCAACAGGUUAUUUCAUUCUCCAUGUGCUUGCAAUUCCUUGCAUUU